rnacentral:tRNA from 1 species
AAGGUGCUAAUUUAAUUAAAAAUAUUAGUUUGUCAGACUAAAUACACUAGAGAGUAGUGUACCUUA